rnacentral:lncRNA from 1 species
GAGUUUUCAUUUAAAUAUAUUUAAGCUUUUUUUUUAUAUUCUUGGGUUGGGUCCAAACAAUUCUGGUUCCAUUCUGGUCUGGAUCAGGCAAUCUGACCCCCCCUUCCCCUUUUUUUUUCUAAAAGCUGACCCCUACUCUUGCAUUUGUUACGUGGGAGUGCAAGAGCUAUUUGGAAGCUACUGCUUCCAACGGCCUCAGAAAACAAUACCAAUUAACGUUGGUUUUUGGAGGCUGCCAAUUUCAUGGUAACCCAUAGAAGCAGUGGCUUCCAAACUAUGUGGACAAGGGGGCUUUGGCAGCCCCCUCUUCCACAUAACAAACACACCCUUAUUGAUGAUUUUUGAAGAUAAGAGUGGAUUUAUAUUUUUAAAAAGAAUUAUUUUAAAAAGUUUGAGGCCUAGGUAGAAAAUCAAAAAGGCAAAAGCAUCUAAUGUCUAAGAAUUGAUAUUGGGAAGAAUAUUGUUAUGGUGAAUUUCAAUAAUUUUUGUGGUGAAAAUGUUAUUGUUAUACAGUUAACAGUUCUUGAGAAACCUUGGCAAAAUAAGGUUGUUGAGAGGAUAAAUAGUACCAUUAUGGCAUAUACUAGAUGUAUUUGAGUACUACUAGGUUAGAACAGUGUUUCAAAGCAAAUGCAGUUCAAACUGCUUGUUUCCUAAUUAAUAUGUCACCCUAUUAUGCACAUUCAAAAUAAAACAAAUUUAUGUCACCCUAUUAUGGGCUAUGGGAAUGGUUGACUACUAAAGAGAGAAAAUGGUGGAUUCCUGUAGGAGAACAACCCUGUUUUAGAAUUUAUGCGACAGCUUGAAACAUAAAUUUAUGUGACUGUUCUUUUAAUUUUUGACACAAUUUUUCUUCCCUUUGUUUGUACCCAAACCUUGGAUUCUAUCCCCUAUACUCUAAGGUACUCAGGUGAGUCCGUACAGUACUCGGUUGAGUACUAUAUGCUUUCUC